CACGGUAAAAGAAAAGGUCUGGGGUGACCUCUCCAAACGUUACCAGGAUCAUGACAUAAUGGCCUUUCUGGAGGAGGCCACUCUUAUGGAUCCAAGAUUCAAGGGAAAGCUGAGUUCUUCUGAUGAAGUUUGGGAACGACUGAAGGCAGCAGCAUUGAGGGAAAUGUUAGGAGAGGAGGAUGCAGUGCCAGUGGAGGCUCAGGAAGUGGAAGUGGACGAGGAUGAAGAGGAUGAAGAGGAGGAGGUGGAAAAUCCUCAUGUUGUCAAGAAACCCAGGGUCUCUGCACUGGAGGAACUCUUCGCUGAAGAGGAUAAAGAGCUG